UUGAUUAAUUUUCAAUGUGACUUAGAUCCCCUAUUUAUUUUCAAAAAAAGGGAAUUUCUGUAUUGCGGCGGUAUUGGAUUACUUUAUAGUAGGUAUUCGAAAGGACGCAGUAAGAAGUUGGUAAGGAUUACCGACUUGAUAACGGAUUAUCGAAAUAGGAUUUACCACAGGAUGUGGUCGCAAGGAAAAGUCUUCAGGAUGAAGAUGCGAUGGACACUCAAAGGAUUUGAGUUAAAGGACACCUCUAGGAUGGAGAGGAAAUAAAUCGGAAUGAUUUAUUGUACCAGGAUGGUAAUAACAAAAAACCCGAUGGAUUGGGAGUUAAACCUAAAGGAAAUUAGGUCAGUCAAUUUGCAGGGAGCAAAAUUAGUUCAAGGAUAGGACUACAUGACUACUUUAAGGACGGCAUUUAUGCCGUCCUUUUCUUUAUCUAC
rnacentral:misc_RNA from 1 species